UUUUUACGGUUUGAUAUUACGAAUGAUUGCGGCAUUCGAGAAUAAGAGAGAAAUCUCAAACUAAUUGCUCUAAGAAACUAUAAAGGACGAGUGACGACCUGAUUUUACCACUGAUAUAAAUAAUAUCAUUUGGAGAAUUCAAUUUUUUUGUAUUUAUUUUGUUUUAAGUUUAACAUGAUAAUUUUACAUCACAUUUCAAAAUAAUAAAUAAAUAUUUACAAUGAGUUAUUGCUAAACAAAUAAUAUAGAUGUCGUUAUUUUGCAGUAGUUAAGAUACAACUAGCGGCACUAACGUCAAUGAUCUGUACUACCACAUUCCAAUCUGAAAAAUUCAAUUCCAAGAAUUGGACCAAUGAGAAGAGGUUCUGGAUAAAUCGAACCAAUCAGAACUACGAAUUUGUGCAGGCCAGCUGUUGUCCGUGCUACGGCAUAAUUCUUUGUGAGUGAAGGUAGCGGGUGAUCGUCUAAUACCCAGAUCAAUGAUUUUGAAUUAAAAUGUCCUUUGCUGACAACAAUCCUGAGGAAAAAGGUCGGGAGAUGAAUGUCACGGUUGACAGUGCUGGGAAUAUCCUCAGUACAUCCUCUGUUGAGGACCAGGGGGACCUCGAUAUCACGGA